rnacentral:lncRNA from 1 species
GCCGAGUUCCUCCUUGGACUCGCCGAGUCGUCCCUUAACAUUAAGAUUUUUUUUCCUUUCUUGGCCUUCAAAACUUGGGUGUUACAUUGUGGCAAUGAUAGAAACUAAUGCAGCCCCAUUCAUCUUGUCAAACAGCUCAAACAAAUGUAAUUCAAAAACCUGCAAACAAACUCAUGAAAAACUAUUUUUUUUUAAUAUUUUAAAACCAUUUUGAAUCAUGAUAUUUUUAUUAAAUAACUAUUAUACCUUUAUAAUAAAGCUACAUUUAAAAUAUGAUUUACCAUUUUUACCUUUUAUUUUAAAAACAAGUAAACAACUAUUUACAAAUCAAAUAUAUAUGCAGAAACAAAUCAAUACAUACAUCGGCCAUUUAAAUGAACCAUGAAUUUUUUUUACAUUGUUAAAACCAAAUGUGAAUUAAUGGACUGUACAAAUCAAAUUUAGUUGUCACUUCUUUGCAAAUCAGCCACUGUAUACAAUGAAAUCACAUAAUACCCACUAUACUUAACAACGACUUUAAUUCAUAACUAAAAAUGAAGGUCCAAUGGACAAGUUCCAUGAUUGAAAACAUAAUAAUUUGCAAUUUUUUAUGGUCAUUUCAAUUUUAACAAAUAUAAUGGUUGCUUGAAAAAUGAUUGAAAAUGAAUCAUCACACCACUUCAGUCAAAUUUUAAUUAAUUUAGGACAAGAGUAUAAGGGGAAGAACAUCCUAAAGGAAAAAGUGUUAGAAACCUCAAUCUAAUGCUUUAUCAUAUUCGUAAAUGCUCCUAUAUCAAAUUAACUUUUGUAAUCAAUUGCAAAUUCUCCUUCUAUAAAAAAAUCAAGAUACUAAUGUUUUUGUUUACAUAAAACAAAUUUUUGUAUUAAAUUGAAUUUGUGAGCUUUAAACAAAACUUUGUGGAGUAUUAAAUUAAUUUAAUUCAUAAUCGUUAGCCCAACUUUAUAACUUGUUGAUAGAAUAGCUUUAUCCAACUUAAUCGUUUCCGUAUUCGUGCAUGAAACUCACAAUUUUUUAAAGUUUACAUCGGCAAUUUUAAAUCGUCGUAUUUGAAUUAAAUCGGAAUCCAAAUAAGUGAAUUUGUGAAUUUGAUGUGUACACACCGAUCAAGUGCUUAACCCUUUCCAAAGUCAAAAUUGAUAAGCCUUGGAAAUAAAAAAGGAUAGGAAAGAACGAACAUCACAAUUCUCAAAAGAAAUUUGAAUGUAAAAUCAAAAAUUAGGUUUAAAAAUUAGAAAUUGAGUUCAAGAACAUACCAAGGCUAUGAUGUUGGUGUAUGGCGGUAACUAUACACCGAUUUCGAUGAUGGAAUAUGAAGCCGACAAGGUCGUUGUGAUGAUUGUGGGCGAU